rnacentral:lncRNA from 1 species
CUGAACCUUGAUAAAUCACAAACCCUAAUUUAUAGUUAAAGUAAAUCCAACUACUCUUUAUUUAUUUUAAAAAAAUUCAAACUUAAUGAAUGGAAUAAAAUAUGAUUGUCAAUGGUGCUAAUCCAAUAUUGUGUAGGCAAGUAGGAAAAAAAAAACCUAAGAAUUAACGAUUGGAUAACGAAAUUUUAUCAACUUGUCUAUUUGUGCUAGCACAAAGAAUUGAAUUAAUUCCUCUCAGAAACUAACCAAUUAGUACAAGUCACUUGACAACUUCGUAUUUCCUUUAUUACUAUCCAACCAUACUUGCUUCCUUGUACAUUUUCUUGCUCAGCUCUGUGUUUUUCCACGGUAGGCCAUCUACUGCAAGCCCCGCUUUGCUCUCAUUUCUCAUCCCCUGAUUAGAAAUUUACAAGAGAAAUGAAGAAGAAAAAGAAGAAGAACGGAUUCAAACUGCUCUCCGUUGCCCUUGCCUACCUCGAACUCAUCGAAACGCUUCUUCGUUGUAUCAUCACAUUGUCGUAGGCUUCUCAGAUGCGUUCGCUUAACGCAUCAUGUUCUUCUUGCCCUCAUCACUUGUCUUCGAGACUCAGUGCCAAUCGCCGUGUGGCUUUAGAACCGGACGUUGUGUCUCAUCUCGGGAGGUGCUGGCAAGUCGUCAAAGUGAUCCGCGUCGAUGGGGCUAUCGACGGAUUCCUCGAGCGUCUCGUGAGAUCACCCCAGUGUGCUCAAUUGGGUUGAAGAUGCACAGGUUGUGUCCAUGCAGCGAGGCAGAUGUGAACUCCAAAUACAUCAGCAGUGCUAGAUUCUCAUAAUCGUGGAGGCGUCAGGAUCCUUCGCUAUUCGUGUUGUGGUCCGCUGAGUAAUUCUAGUCGAUCAAUGCAGUGGGUCGAUGCACCCCAGCCACUUGGUUGUAGAAAAGGAGGAUCAUUCCAUCACACUUUCACGAGCUGAACUAUGCUGUAAGGACCAUCGCGGUACGAUCACCGUCUUGUCUCACCUUCAAAAAGGAACAGCUCCAGUCCGUUAGCCAUGCGCGGCCCUGCGUCGAACGCGAGACUGCCCACGCACAACAGAAAAUUCAAAACCUUGAGAUAGAUCCCUGCUUUGUAUUCGUUCAUUCAGUAGUCUAGUCCUAGCCCGUCCCCGACAGUUCCCCAACCGCUUCCUUUUUGCAAAGUCGUAGAUCUCUAUUUUUCAGGAGACGCACUUGGUCUUCUCACCGCCACUACAUUCAUACAGGGUUGUCCUGAACAAGGUUGUCCUUAAAGAAUCGUGGGUCCAGUGCUGGAAUCAGUUUCGUCUACGCUCCUUUUCGGGAGUUGAAUCCCUCAAGGACCUCAAUUUUUUCUCGUCGUCGAACACUUUGGGACUAAGAGAGCACUCAGUUGGGCAAAGAAGUCUGUGUUCUCGUUGCAAUUUGGACUAGUUGGUAGCUUCUCGAAAAACCUGGCAGAACUAGCAGAUCCUACGGGACGAUUGCACCAGCAUCAGCACCAGAAAAUCGGCUGGAAGGGAUUCGCGAACCCCAUGUUGAAUUGAACUGCUCGCUGGUUGAUCCAUAUCCGAUAGAUAUGGCCCGCUGCUUCUGUUUGACUCUUCCUCAUGUCGUCCUCUCUAAAUUCUCCCCCUUUAAAUCUUCAGACUCGGGUUGAGUCCUCCGCAAGUCCUCCUCUAUUGCGUUUCUUUGGGUAAACUUUGCCUCUUCAGCUUAAUCCAUUCUUCAAGAUUUGGUUUCGAAAUCCCCCGAAUCCACACGACAUACAUCAUAAUGAUCGACGCACGAGAUUCCAUAGCCAUAUCCUGGCGCUCCUGUCCCACGAGAAUUUACACCUCCUCCACGAGAGUAAACCUGCUUAUGCCGCAUGAACUCGUUCUCCAACUUUCUUAGGACCCUGGUGCACUUCCAUUGCCAACCACUGGAGUCUCAGAAACUGGGCGUUGCGAGUGUCACUCAAUUUAGCAAUAUGUUGAGAAACGAAGCAAGCUACAAACGUGGUAGCCAUCAGAGGUACCAAUGCUUCCCACGUCACUGCGAGUCCCAGAAACCUCAUUACUCAAUCGACUGGCGCCACCUACUUGGGCCGUCGGAUCGGAACUGCCGCUCAGAUACAAUCUAAACCGCCGAUCGGAUUUCUGG